rnacentral:rRNA from 1 species
GACGAACGCUGGCGGCGUGCUUAACACAUGCAAGUCGAACGAGAGCGUAGAGAAAGCUUGCUUUUUCUACAAUCUAGUGGCAAACGGGUGAGUAACGCGUAAACAACCUGCCCUACGGAUGGGGACAACAGCUGGAAACGGCUGCUAAUACCGAAUACGUUCCGAAAGUCGCAUGACUAUCGGAAGAAAGGAUGGCCUCUAUUUAUAAGCUAUCGCCGGAGGAGGGGUUUGCGUCUGAUUAGCUAGUUGGAGGGGUAACGGCCCACCAAGGCGACGAUCAGUAGCCGGUCUGAGAGGAUGAACGGCCACAUUGGAACUGAGACACGGUCCAGACUCCUACGGGAGGCAGCAGUGGGGAAUCUUCCGCAAUGGGCGAAAGCCUGACGGAGCAACGCCGCGUGAGUGAAGACGGCCUUCGGGUUGUAAAGCUCUGUUAUACGGGACGAAUAAUCUUGUGGUUAAUACCCAGGAGAAGUGACGGUACCGUAAGAGAAAGCCACGGCUAACUACGUG